GUCAGCAUGGCGGAAUUGGCAGACGCGGUGGUCUCAAACACCACUGAGAAAUCGUCCCGGUUCAAAUCCGGGUGCUGACA
rnacentral:tRNA from 1 species